GACGGAGGAUGCAAGUGUUAUCCGGAAUCACUGGGCGUAAAGCGUCUGUAGGUGGUUCAAUAAGUCAACUGUUAAAUCUUGAGGCUCAACUUCAAAAUCGCAGUCGAAACUAUUGGACUCGAGUAUAGUAGGGGUAAAGGGAAUUUCCAGUGGAGCGGUGAAAUGCGUAGAGAUUGGAAAGAACACCAAUGGCGAAAGCACUUUACUGGGCUAUUACUGACACUGAGAGACGAAAGCUAGGUAG
rnacentral:rRNA from 1 species